UGGGGAAUUUUGGACAAUGGGCGAAAGCCUGAUCCAGCAAUGCCGCGUGUGUGAAGAAGGCCUUCGGGUUGUAAAGCACUUUUGUCCGGAAAGAAAUGGCUCUGGUUAAUACCUGGGGUCGAUGACGGUACCGGAAGAAUAAGGACCGGCUAACUACGUGCCAGCAGCCGCGGUAAUACGUAGGGUCCAAGCGUUAAUCGGAAUUACUGGGCGUAAAGCGUGCGCAGGCGGUUGUGCAAGACCGAUGUGAAAUCCCCGAGCUUAACUUGGGAAUUGCAUUGGUGACUGCACGGCUAGAGUGUGUCAGAGGGGGGUAGAAUUCCACGUGUAGCAGUGAAAUGCGUAGAGAUGUGGAGGAAUACCGAUGGCGAAGGCAGCCCCCUGGGCCAAUACUGACGCUCAUGCACGAAAGCGUGGGGAGCAAACAGG
rnacentral:rRNA from 1 species